GUGGUUACUAGCAUAUCCGACCUCAGAUCGGACGAGAUUACCCGCUGAAUUUAAGCAUAUCAAUAAGCGGAGGA
rnacentral:rRNA from 8 species